CACUAACGAAGCCAGUGUCUUUCCCAGCUGUGUCAAUCUAAAACCCAGAUGGGUGAGCCCAGUCUUCAACAAGCCAUAGGAGUGGCAUGGAGGAAAAUGAUGUGGCAAUCAUGGAAGAGUUGAUACUCUACAGAGUUUGAGAAUCUUCAAAUCUGCAGAUCCUGCUGUGAUAAUCAUUCUGUCCAUAGGAUGCUGUCUUUGUUUCUGCAAUUAAAUACUCUUGCA
rnacentral:lncRNA from 1 species